AGAUUUCCCAGGAAAACCCAGAUGGUUCUUCCAGAACCCAUCCCAGGCCUGACUGCCUAGGAAAUGUGACAUACACAUCUAGGUGUUGGAUAUGGAAAAUGUGUAGUUAACAAACUGUGAGCAGCUUCAAAGAACAAAAUGUUAACCGUUGUAAACAUCUAACUGGCUUCCACCGGAGCCAAGAAGCAUCCACCUAGAAGACAGAAGAUUCUCAUAGGUCUGUC
rnacentral:lncRNA from 1 species